UGGGGGAAUAUUGCACAAUGGGGGAAACCCUGAUGCAGCGACGCCGCGUGAGUGAAGAAGUAUUUCGGUAUGUAAAGCUCUAUCAGCAGGGAAGAAAAUGACGGUACCUGACUAAGAAGCCCCGGCUAACUACGUGCCAGCAGCCGCGGUAAUACGUAGGGGCAAGCGUUAUCCGGAUUUACUGGGUGUAAAGGGAGCGUAGACGGUGAGACAAGUCUGAAGUGAAAUCCCGGGGCUCAACCCCGGAACUGCUUUGGAGACUGCCUGACUAGAGUGCAGGAGAGGUAAGUGGAAUUCCUAGUGUAGCGGUGAAAUGCGUAGAGAUGUGGAAGAAUACCAGAGGCGAAGGCGGCCUCCUGGACAGAUACUG
rnacentral:rRNA from 1 species